rnacentral:rRNA from 1 species
GAUGAACGCUGGCGGCGUGCUUAACACAUGCAAGUCGAACGAAGCACUUUAUUUGAUUUCCUUCGGGACUGAUUAUUUUGUGACUGAGUGGCGGACGGGUGAGUAACGCGUGGGUAACCUGCCUUGUACAGGGGGAUAACAGUUGGAAACGGCUGCUAAUACCGCAUAAGCGCACAGCAUCGCAUGAUGCAGUGUGAAAAACUCCGGUGGUAUAAGAUGGACCCGCGUUGGAUUAGCUAGUUGGUGAGGUAACGGCCCACCAAGGCGACGAUCCAUAGCCGACCUGAGAGGGUGACCGGCCACAUUGGGACUGAGCCACGGCCCAAACUCCUACGGGAGGCAGCAGUGGGGAAUAUUGCACAAUGGGCGAAAGCCUGAUGCAGCGACGCCGCGUGAGCGAAGAAGUAUUUCGGUAUGUAAAGCUCUAUCAGCAGGGAAGAUAAUGACGGUACCUGACUAAGAAGCACCGGCUAAAUACGUG